rnacentral:misc_RNA from 1 species
GAAAAUAUUUUAAAAUCCAAAUGGUUAGUAAAACAAGAGUUGGUAGAGUCUGAUGAUGAUAGUUCUAGCAGUAGCCUUGAUGAUACUUUAGAGAAAUUAGGCGGCAUUACUUUGCAGGAAGCAUCUAAAGAAUAUGGAAUUAUGAAAACUCCUUCAAGAAAGAAAAGCUCCGUUGUUUCUAGAGAUCAUUGGUCAGCAUUGGCACUAGAUGAC